AUGAGUUGAAUUUACUCAAUUGUAUUUAUUUUAUUCAGUGUCUGAUAUGUGUUAUAUUCAGUCACUUUUAAUAAUUAUGUUAUCUAACCUCUGUUUUGUGUUUGUGCUGAACCGUUGGGGGUUCAAGUUCUCAGGUUGUAUGUUUGUUGGUGUUCGCGUUGUUGGUGAAAGCUCUGCUCUGAUUGUGACACGGGAAAAAGUUCAUAGAGUCUUUAUUUGUUGUUGUUUUAUUUAAAUUAAAUGUGUACAUUGUAUAAAAGGAAUUUUGCACAAGUGAUAUUUACUACUCAAUUUUAUUAGUAGUGUUGUUUUUUUGUAAUGAAGAAUGUAACACCUUGAGCCAAUAUUUCAUAAUUCAUUUCGACUUCGAGCUUUAAAACUUUUUAUCCGUUGCGUAGUUUUUAAACAAACAUUCUUUUAUUAAGAUAAAUUGAAUAUUGGGUUAGGGUGGUUACA
rnacentral:lncRNA from 1 species